rfam:Triticum aestivum genome assembly, contig: Triticum_aestivum_CS42_TGACv1_scaffold_377363_5AL
UAGUUACUCCCUCCGUCCGGAAAUACUUGUCAUCAAAAUGAAUAAAAAAAGAUGUAUCUAGAUGUAUUUUAAUACUAGAUACAUCUAUUUUUAUCUAUUUUAAUGACAAAUAUUUUCGAACGGAGGCAGUAGUAG